CCUACGGGUGGGCAGCAGUGGGGGAUAUUGGACAAUGGGGGGAACCCUGAUCCAGCGACGCCGCGUGAGUGAAGAAGUAUCUCGGUAUGUAAAGCUCUAUCAGCAGGGACGAAGAAAUGACGGUACCUGAGUAAGAAGCCCCGGCUAAAUACGGGCCAGCAGCAGCGGUAAUACGUAGGGGGCAAGCGUUAUCCGGAAUUACUGGGUGUAAAGGGAGCGUAGACGGUGAUGUAAGUCUGGAGGGAAGGGCGGGGGCCCAAGCCCCGGACUGCUCUGGAAAAUAUGUGACUGGAGGGCAGGAGAGGUGAGAGGAAUUCCUAGUGUAGCGGGGAAAUGCGUAGAUAUUAGGAGGAACACCAGUGGCGAAGGCGGCUCACGGGACUGUAACUGACGUUGAGGCACGAAAGCGUGGGGAGCAAACAGGAUUAGAUACCCCAGUAGUC
rnacentral:rRNA from 1 species